CAAUUUAUUUUUACGCAUUUGUUAUUGUAGAACAAUUGACUUUUAAAUGGAAGAAAUUCAACAUUUCUGGUUGCUACAACUCAGAGGAAAGCUUCACAAGGCAACAAGGAAACAAUUUGCCUGUGGAUGGAAAUGAUGUUUUUAACAUGUUAAAAACUAUUUCCUUCCAACGACAAGAGUUGUCUUCCAGAGUUGAAAAUAUGGAAAGGAAGAUGGGCAGCUUUUGAAAGAAAAUAUAAUUCAAAAAAGCGAAGAAGUGGCCCAACAAAAAACCGUCCGCGAAUGUAAGGUGCUAAUUCGGAAAGUUCACCAAUCAGUAUCAGAAAUGGAAGAAAAACUGAAACGCGAAGAAUUCGCUACAGCAACGAAAAAGUUUGUUUUAAGGAUGAGAGGUAGUUCCGAUAGUAUAUAUGAUGUGUUGCGGCAUCUGUACACUGACGAAUUCCUGAGUUUGUGUAACUGGGACGGUAAGGGAGGCAAGCAACCGCUAUAGAAAUUUCUGUUGUCCAACAUAUUAUAUGAUUCUCUCAUCACCUGUGGAUUUACGAAUUUCGAGCAACAAAUGCGGAAGUCCAUCGAAAUGAGCCACCAUAGACUUACGCAAAAAAAAUAUAGGAAGCGAAAA